GAAAUGCGAUAAUUAAUGUGAAUUGCAGAAUUCAGUGAAUCAUCGAGUCUUUGAACGCACAUUGCGCCCCCUGGUAUUCCGGGGGGCAUGCCUGUGAGCGUCAUUGCUGCCCUCAAGCACGGCUUGUGUGUUGGGCUUCCGUCCCUGGCAACGGGGACGGGCCCAAAAGGCAGUGGCGGCACCAUGUCUGGUCCUCGAGCGUAUGGGGCUUUGUCACCCGCUCCCGUAGGUCCAGCUGGCAGCUAGCCUCGCAACCAAUCUUUUUAACCAGGUUGACCUCGGAUCAGGUAGGGAUACCCGCUGAACUUAAGC
rnacentral:misc_RNA from 1 species